AGGUUUUUGAACCCGUGUUCAGGUUUCGUCAGUCACCGAUCCUCCAAGGUUGAUGAGACUGCCAAGAUAAGUGAAGCU
rfam:Schistosoma rodhaini strain Burundi genome assembly, scaffold: SROB_scaffold0013751